UGGCAGUCAGUGUUCAAAAAUCUUCUUUCUAUGCUUCGGGACUAUCACAAGAGGAGGUUGAUGCUAUCCAAGUCUCUACGGGAAUGCCCAAUGGGACCCUUCCUGUUCGUUACCUUGGAGUACCUCUCUGCACAAAAAAGCUGACGGCGGAAAACUGUGAGGUCUUAAUCCAACAAAUUAAAGCAAAGUUUACUUCAUGGAGUGUCAAGACUCUCUCUUUUGCUGGUAGGCUACUCUUAAUAAAAACGGUGGUGGCGGGUGUAAACAACUUUUGGUGCUCUACUUUCCUACUCCCUAAAGCCUGUGUGACAAGAAUAAAUUCUCUCUGCGGCUUAUUCUUAUGGAAAGGACGACUAGAUGUGCAUCACUCAGCAAAGGUCUCGUGGGAGGUGGUGACUAAGGAAAAAGCUAGUGGAGGAUUGGGAGUGAAGGAUCUAGUUACUUGGAACAAGGCUUGCUGUUUAAAACUAAUUUGGUUGUUGUUCUUUCAAGCAGGAUCGAUAUGGGUUGGAUGGUUCAAGACUGAGGUUUUAAAAGGUUCCCUAUCUAACUUCUGGACUAUGAAAGCGACAACAACAAACUCUUGGUUGGCUAACAAGCUAUUCAAGUUGAGAGAUGAAGUCUUUACCUGGAUAAAGAUGAAAGUGGGAAAUGGUGAAUCCUGUAGAUUCUGGUCGGACAACUGGUCCCCCUUUGGGAAGCUCUCGCA
rnacentral:lncRNA from 1 species